rnacentral:lncRNA from 1 species
CUGUCGCCUUCCCCGUGGGGGAAUAGCAAGGGAAGCCGGCAGGGAAGCAGCAAACGCGGCGGCACGCGGGGGAGAAGCCACGUGGGGGAGCGCGGCGGCCGCGGACGUGGGGAGGGAAAGCACAAGGAGGGAGGGAGGCGACCGGCACACGGUUCAAGGACACGUGGGGGCCGGGAACAGGAGCGAGAGCAACAGGGGGAGGAGGAACACGGAGGCCGAGGCGGGCCACGUGGGGGACCAGCCGGAGAGGGGAGAAAACGGGGGGAGGGGGCAAACACGUGGGAGACGGAACGAACACGCGGUACCGAGCACGGAGACGGAAGACAGACACGCGGGGGCCUGACACGCAGACGAGUAGGCGGAGCGGGGCAAAGGUCUCUCUCGGCGCCGGGAGGUCUCAAGCCAAGCCCCCGAUCCGCGGACGGUCUCUCCGCGCGUCCGUUCUUCGUUGUUCACUUGGAGCUUGAGGUUUUUUUAGGUUCUUUUUUUUUUGUCUUUUGGGGGGGGGUUAGGGGGUGGGAAGCCGGGGAGCACAGAGCAAAGGGGCAGGAGCGGAGAGAGAGACAGCCUCGAGGCCGCCGCGCCCCAUUUAUACCCCCGCCCCGGGAGCGCCGCCGGUCAAAGGGCACGGCGCGCCCCGGGCGGCGCCGUCCGGCCCGCCCCGGCCCAGCCCAGCGCAGCGCAGCGCGGCGCGGCGCAACGCUGCGCGGCGCUACGCGGCCCCGGGGGCGCGUGCGACCGAGAGGCAGCGCGAGACCAAGAGAGAGCUACGCGAGAGCGAGGCUACCCGAGGCGCGCGCGGUGGGCCAGAGCGCCCCCCAAGUCCAGGAGGACCCGCGCGCCCGCCGCUGCCUCUGCCCCAACUCCCUCUCUCUCUCACCCCCCGUAACGCCCCCUCCCCCCACCGCACCCUUCGCGCAGCUGCAGCUGCUGCUUCUGCGUUGGAGCACGCGGGCUCAGUUGAGGGGGAGGGGCCCUUGGAAGACGGUUGGGAAGCCGACGGUUAGAGUGAAGCUGGCAGCUCUCGAUUUAAGAGCUUCUCCCGUGUGCCCUUGUCAACGUUCACUUAUUAAGGGCCUACUGGUGGCACCGACGUUUGCUGGGCACCCACUGUGUAUCCACUGGCACAAGAAAUGGCAAACAUUGAUGUAUUAA